GUUCAACAAAGGUGGUUUUAGAACAAUGAUAAAGCCACAUCGUAGACGUAGAGUAACAAAAUUGUUUGACAGAAUAGCUAUAUAUUCAGAAUUGCCGAGGCAGCAGCAUCGUGUAGGAGCGGUGGCCGGAGGAGACAGCCCAUUUUCGGUUCUUUACGUCCAAACCGGACCCGAUCCGAACCGAACCCGCCACUAUUUGAAGCUGAUUCCAACCAAAAAGGCAGAAAUCAAAAUCACAAUUCACAAAGCCACAAGUCAAACCCUAGCGGCCUCUUUCACAGUUUCACUCUUCGAAGUUGACUUUCUAUCGCCAUUGUUCUGCUACUGCUCAGAAAGUUGCAGAGAGAAGAAGAGAAAUGGAAGGGAGUUCAGAGAGGGACCUGAUGGAGAAGAAGGAGAUCGUGAGGUGACGGAGAAAGAGGAGGAGAAGCUGCCAUGUCUAAGCCACUUCCUCUGUCUUGCUCCGCCUCUCUCUCUGCCACGCCGCCCGUAACUGUGCCGUCAGCCUCCGUUUUCUCUCUUCUGUAGUUCUGCUCUGCCCUUGAAUUUCAAAUAUUUUUGUUCACAACUAUACUGUCAACAAUCACAUUCAAUUAAAC